UACGUAGGGCGCAAGCGUUGUCCGGAAUUAUUGGGCGUAAAGAGCUCGUAGGCGGUCUGUUACGUCCGCUGUGAAAACCCAGGGCUUAACCCUGGGCUUGCAGUGGAUACGGGCAGACUAGAGGCAGGUAGGGGAGAAUGGAAUUCCCGGUGUAGCGGUGAAAUGCGCAGAUAUCGGGAGGAUCACCGGUGGCGAAGGCGGUUCUCUGGGCCUGUACUGACGCUGAGGAGCGAAAGCGUGGGGAGCGAACAGG
rnacentral:rRNA from 1 species